UAGACGUUGAUAGGAUAGGGUACCCGGGAGAACUAGGUAGAGGAGUUUGGGGUCGGGGUGCGGAAAGGCGGGAGGCACCCUGCCGCUUUAGGAGCCCAGCGCGGGGCACGAUGGGACGCCCCCAGGAAGGGGCGGAGCCGUGUUCGACCGCUGGGCCUGCGGUUGGGAAACUACUGGAGGAUGUGGUGCACCAAAACAAGAGAACAAACCAAGAAACAGGAAGACAUGUGAUCCAGGAAACAGGAUAUUUAACAUAGAAGUGCAAGCUAAUAAACAUUAAGCAGGAAGAGAACAUCCAGGUAUGUUCACAACACAGAGAAGCUACUCAGUAAAUAUUGUUGAAUUAAAGAUGAACAAAAUCAA